UGACUUCAAGUCAUGGCCUUCUCGCUGC
rnacentral:piRNA from 1 species